CCUACGGGAGGCAGCAGUGGGGAAUUUUGGACAAUGGGGGAAACCCUGAUGCAGUGAUGCCGCGUAUAGGAAGAAGGUUUUCGGAUUGUAAACUAUUGUCGACAGGGAAGAUGAAAAGACGGUACCUGUGGAGGAAGCCCCGGCUAACUACGUGCCAGCAGCCGCGGUAAUACGUAGGGGGCGAGCGUUGUCCGGAAUUAUUGGGUGUAAAGGGUGCGUAGACGGGUUAUUAAGUUAGUUGUGAAAUCCCCAGGCUCAACUUGGGAACUGCAACUAAAACUGGUAAUCUUGAGUAUGGGAGAGGAAAGUGGAAUUCCUAGUGUAGCGGUGAAAUGCGUAGAGAUUAGGAGGAACACCAGUGGCGAAGGCGACUUUCUGGACCAAAACUGACGUUGAGGCACGAAAGUGUGGGGAGCAAACAGGAUUAGAUACCCUGGUAGUCCACACUGUAAACUAUGGAUACUAGGUGUAGGGGAUAACCAUCCUCUGUGCCGUCGCAAACGCAAUAAGUAUCCCACCUGGGGAGUACGGCCGCAAGGUUGAAACUCAAAGGAAUUGACGG
rnacentral:rRNA from 1 species